rnacentral:rRNA from 1 species
AAUGACUCUCGGCAACGGAUAUCUCGGCUCUCGCAUCGAUGAAGAACGUAGCGAAAUGCGAUACUUGGUGUGAAUUGCAGAAUCCCGUGAACCAUCGAGUCUUUGAACGCAAGUUGCGCCCGARGCCAUCAGGCCGAGGGCACGUCUGGCUGGGUGUCACACAACG